UUUGGCUGUCUGAUACACUUGUAAUCCAUUCAAUGGAUUUAUGUACAGGCUUAAUAAAGGAGAGUAAUUCUCUACUGAAAAAAAAUACAGGGAAUUUCCCCUUAGAAUAUUUUGACAACCAGUCCAGAGCAAGUUAUGACCCAGGUCACAUGAAAUGUUGCCUGAUAAUAUACUUUUGGGUAACUGAGAAGAGAAGCCUUUAUUAAACCUGUGUGGUGCUAUCAAGUUGACUGUUCUUACAGGUUAUCUACAAUCUACUCUAUCUUACCUUGCCUAUUUUGUCUCAGCUAAGAAGAUUCUGCAAGAGUACUUUCCAAUGCCCAAAAAUAAUCAAGUGAAACCUCCAGAAUAUUUAUCCAUCCAAUCUGCUCUGCUUCAGUAGCUGAAUUAGAGGAGGUCGGAACUUUGGGGUCUCAGGAGUUCUGCUCACCACCCAGAAUGCGGUUUUGAAGUCCCAAUGGUCUUUCUGGCAUGCCAUACCUGGAACCUUGAUGAAGACUAUGUAGGUUUUUUUCCCAGUUUGGAUUGAGUCUGCUGUUGCGGUAUGGCACGUUUUGGACAUAUCUGAUUCAUUGGAAACAUGACCAGUGGAUCGAACCACCACAAGUGUUAUCAUUGUUAUGAUGUGUUGCAGUGAAAGUGCAGAGAAAUUGAUGAACAGGUUACCAGUGACAACCUGAAAGAACAGCCUCCACAUGAAAAAGUCACAGCUGAAGGUCCCCUAGGAUGUAAAGGAGAUACCAAAGACUCAGAGUCUAACAUCCUCAAUGCCACUUCCACCAGAUGAAUAAGGUCAGUGUCACCACAGACUGUGGAUAUCCCAGUGCACCAUUACAGAAUAUAUCAUCCUUUGGAAUGGGGCCUACAUCCUGAGAGGGUGACCUUCCUAUCCCGGUGACUGUCACAGAGACAGCAGUACUAAACUUUCAUGCAACUGUCUACUUCCAAGGAUCCACUGAGGAUCUGUGUGAGAUCUCUCAAUUCUUGACCCACAAAUGUAUCAAUGUAAUUUGUGUCAAAUAACUCCACUUCAUCUGCUUUCCCUUUAGUGAGGUCAGUCAGCAGCCUGGCCAGUUGGUUUUGGCAACAUUGCUGGCCUUCCCCAGGUGAGGGCACUAUAGGCUCUGCACACUGAAACACAUUGAGAGGACCAUAUCAUAAAGCAGCUGUGUUCGUGAACAGAAAGGAUUCUAUUCCAUCAAUGUGUAAGCCAUCUGUGAUCAUCAGUACCACAUCUUAGGAAUCUGCCUCAGUUACCAUUGGAUCUGCCACGAAACAUACAUACAAAAGAAUUGUCAUGUUCGUGCUUUGUUUUAUGGGCUAUGUGCUUUAUAAGGUCCCACCAGACUGAUGGAAGCAUUGGAACCUCAUCUUCAGGAGGUCAAUUAUUUGUUCCAUGAUGGCUGUGAUUGAAGAAUGGGCUGCAUUAUAUUUACAUUCAUCCACAGUCUAGGGGUCAACAAUGGUAUCAUCGACUAUGUUUACAAAGGGUAGUCCUUGUCUCCCAACAGCCUGGUCUGAAUUGUAACGAUGCUACAAAGCAGAAUUGAUGUGUGAGGAAUGAAGUAUAAGUGAAUGUGUGAUAACAGUGGUGGCUGUUGGUUUUGGAGUAAAGACAGAAGUUCAGAAUACUGAUUGAUACAUUAUUUACGUAUAAGGGUGUGAAUUAGCCGAGCUUUGGACAGAGACUGUCACAACAGCAAAACUGUAUUGUGAAAUCCUUUCUAUACAUUUCGCUGAAAGGUAUAAGAAAGUCAACAGCAAGCUGCAUAACUUGGAAAUACCUAUGAUGUGUUGUUAAAAUUCAGUGGAACAGAUUUAAACAAUUGGAGUCACAGAAAGAUUUUGCAAUGGAUAUUCCAGACUAUUCCAAAUACCAUGAUAUUCCAGAAUGUGAGUAUUCAGAAACUUCAGUUAAAAUCUGAUGGAAGUAAUUUUAAUUUAUUCAUUUGAGACUCAAUUGUAACAGCUGGAUGUCUGAUGACAAACAGUUGGAUGAAAUAAUAUUAUAAACCACUCUUCCUUUUUGAAAAGA